GUGACAAUCUGGUUCUCUGUCAUGUCAGUCAGCUUAAAUCCACUUGAUGCGGCCAGUUUCCUCCAAUUCAUGGUUGUGCAUCACACUGCACAGUGCUUGUGGAGAAGAACUGCAUCUACUGUGCCCCUUGUGCUAAGCCAGCUCCUUUAUAUACUGCUGUACCGGACCCAUUGAACAAUGCUUGAACCUGAUCUUUCGUGUGCUGACAACCUGCCCUCUGAUGGGGCUGUCGUACCCCAGCAGCAGAAUGGACAAACAGCAAUUUUGCACCCCGUUCCGUAUGACGGGCAGUCAUUUCCACUGAAGAGCAGGCCUGGUGUAUUUCUCUCAGGCUUCUCCUUCUACAACAAAUCCCUUUCAUUUGGAUGAAGUCUGGCAAAUGAAAAGCAUCGUAUGCCAGACGCUCGCACAGAUGUUCCCGCAUGGCUUGCAGGAAGAAGUACAAGGAUAAUACAGCACCAGAUAGUGUCUACUAAAAAGGAUCCCAGACUUACUUGACUGUCAAGAAGGCCAGGUAGUCACAGACCUCCACUGAACAAACAGGUAAAAAUAGGUUGUCACAGUAGGCCCAAGAGCCUGGGUCCUGCCUGCGGCACUGGAGCUCCAGCUGGACCGGGAGAGCUCUUAUAUACUGCCAUUGCAGGAGUACGAUAUAAGUACUCUUAAAUAGAUUUGGGGCUCACAUCUUGGACUGGAGACUUCAGAGACAGUUAAUCUAAUCGGCAGAUGAAUUGACUUUGAAUCUCAAAGCAAAGCUGAAUAAUUUUAAUGACACAUAGUUGGAGGAGAUAUAAUAUUGUAAUCCCCUAUCGCAUGGCCAUGGUAAGUACUUACAGAUGAUGAAGAAACCUUGUAAAAAGAAACUGACAAGUUCAAAGCAAGUGAGGAGAAGCAAGAUAUUUUCUGCUGAGUAGUGCUUUCUGUCAGCACUGAAAUGACAACAUACUGCUCACACUGUACAUUUGUUACUGUGAUGAUCUCGUUCUCGAUUUUAAAACAGCUGUUUUUUCUGAGAGGCAUUAUUACACACCAGAAAAAGUUCAUUUGGUCCUAUUCUGCAUUCAAGAGAAAGAAAUUGACCAUAUUUCAUUUAUUUUUAGUAUAUCCCUUGAGCUGAAUUGUUAGAAAGAUAAAGCAUGAAAAUAAUGGUAUAGUAAUAUCUGCCAGGAUCAUGCUAUCCUUUAAAUUUAAACAUCACUUCUAUGCACCGAAGCAUAAUCUUGUACUUGUAAUUAUUAAUCAGCAGCACAUUAUCUGAACUACUCAAAGUCAGAUGUCAUAGUGGGUCCAGAAAAGGAGAUUCACUGCAGUGUCAUGAAGAUGAUUACAAUGAGGCAGCAGUGGAAAAAAGAACUAUUAGCGACAGUAGAACGCAUUGUUGCCAGAGACCCUCUGUUCUUUCCAAUUGUACCCUGCAGCCAAGUGCACAUGGUAAUUUUAAAACAUCAGGUCCUUCAGUUCAUUGUGGGCCUGAAAAUGUAAUAGAAUAGGCCUGGAAAAGGUAAUAAUUUGAGUGUUUCAGUUUUCUGAAAGCAACGUUCAUUUCAUUUUUCAUUUUUUAUUUUAAUGUACUUCAGAGCAUAUUCUCUCCUGUGGUUGCUCACACUGUCCAGUCAAUUUCAAUUAUUUGCCACAUGAAGUAAAGCAUGAUUCUGUAAGUAUAUCUCUAAGUGUAUUAGCUAUCAUCAGUAUGCACUUAUGACUGUUGUAUCCUUGAUUACAGAAGAACACACCACUAUUAUCAGUAAACCUCUUUAACUUGCCACAUUUGUGUUUUAAAUAUGUUUAUCCUGCACAUAGGUGAUGACAAUAAGCUUUCAGAGGCUGCUUCAAAUAAUUACUGUCUUGCAGAAAUGUAUAAUACUUACUUAAGGUUAUUUAGUGCAGAAACUAUAGGGAAGUUCUGAAGAACACAUAGGCUGCAAGGUAAGCUGGUCAAACGCAGCUGAGUGCAUUGCUUGAAAUCUCUAGUAGUUAUUAGGAAGUUGAUGAAUGGAACUUGCCAAAAAGGUUUCCAGUGAAUGGACCACAUUAAUGUUGUUGAUUUGUGACAGUGAUGAUAAUGCUAAUUCAAGGGUUAGGUGGAAGCAAGCAGGGCAAACCGGAUUGAUUAUUAUUUUUUUUAUUUAUUUAAUGAAGCAGACCCAAAUGUAUUUAAUCCAAAAACAUGACAGUUCUGUGCAGUUUACUUAACAGUUAGGAGGGAAGCAUUGUUAGACUAGUCCUUUUUGUGACAGUCGUUUAUUGUUGUUUUCAGCUGCAGCUAAAGGCGAAAUUAUUAAUAAAAAGGGAAAGUGUUCUUGACCUUUAAAGAGGUCAUGUUCAUUUCUAGACAGUUAGGCUCACCUUGACAUUUUAUUUAAACUGAUUUACUUAUGCCCAUAGAAACUUUCUAAUCUGGAAGCAGAGCAUAAUUUUUAAACUCUACAGUAAAUAUCUUCAGCAGUAAAUGUUGCUUUAACAGAAAUAGGAAUGAUUUCUUUUUCUUGGCACCCCGUUGUAGGGAACUAGGCUAACCACUGUAGAUAAAGCCAGAUGAAGUAAUGUUAUGAAUGCAAGGAGGUGCAGGAGGAGGAAAAGGAAAAAGAGAAGAGAGUGUGAAGUUGCUACCAUUUCAUUUAUCAUGAGUGUAUGUGCCAUGUCCACUAAUGGAAGAAGCUACAGCCUCCUCUUAAACUUUUGCGCUCAUACCAGCUUGUCUAUGCCUGGAAAGGAAGGUGGAGAACGUCUGCAAAUGGAGGACAUGCAAUUUUUCUGUUUCUAAAUUGUUUCAACAGUAUUAAAAGGCAUAAACCAGGGAUGAUUGAGGAGAAGGCCAGAGAUUCCACAGCACAAUGAAGAGUGCACAGCCAGAAAACCAUCUCAGCGCAUUCUUCCUUGUAGGCCCUUACUGAAAGAGCAGCACCAGUUAUUCCCCAGCACCAGAACAACUUCAGUGAAGCAAUGAGUGCAAAGCUUUUGCAUGUACGAUGGGCUGUCAACACAUGGACCAACAGUCUGUGCCUAUCCUUCUUUUGAAGGAAUAGCCCUCAUGACCAUUGACUGUAUUGUACUGUGUCAGAGAAGCCACCAGUUUAACAGGGAGCCAUAAGCAGUGCACAGAGGACCUUCAAAAGCACUUUCACUCAUAUAAGCACACAUUUGUCAACUUUAAAGCGUAAGUGUCAAGUCAGUCCUGUGAUAUUCAGCAGACCUCUGUCUGCCCUCCAGUCAGGUCCAGUCUGGAAGCUAUUUGGCCGCAUUAGCACAGUGCCACACUGAAGCUACUGACGUCAACCCAGCAAAUAAAGCAUUGGCCUCGGCAGUCAGAAACGAGGACUGAAACAUUCUCAGCUAAAGGAUUUGAACUAUCUGCUCAGUACUCCAGAUUUCAUUAAGAAGAGAGUUUGAAACCUUAUUCCCACUGUCUUACCAGGAAAUCUACAGCGACAUACAGAAAGAAAAGGCAAAUCAAAUUAUAACUAUUUAAAAUGUAACAAGUAGCCCUUAGUAACACAGAUGUUUUUCAGACUGCAAUCCACAGUAAUACUAAAUAGGUAAGUUAUACUAAAAAGGUAAGCGUAUAUAUGACCAUAGUUUUAAUAGGAUGACUAAAAAUGCCAGUUAUGUUCUCACUUUCCUAAAACAAGAUCACCUGCAAAAAUAUUUGAAAAUGGACUCUGGAAAUCAUGCCGAAUUAAAAGCUUUUUCAAAGGAAAAAAAAAUAGUGAUUUGGGAUGCUUGACACCCUAACUGUACCUUGCUUCCAGAAACUGCUGAGCACUUUUGAUCUCAUAACCACGCGUCAUCUGUAAUUGCAGUGAGAUAGCUAGGAACAGAGGUACCAAGUCAUGUCAGAGCUGAAUUUUCUGUACUGGUACACUGAAACUGAGGAGAAAGUCCUCACUUGCACUUUGUGAAUAUGCUGUUCUGCAUUAUCUGAAACUACCAGGUUCAGCUUGUUAAUUUUGAUAGUUAUUACUUAGGAUCUUCAGCUAAAGCUAUUCUGUGUUUGCUUAGUGAACAAUACAGGUCAAAUGGAACCGCUGGAAAAAUAAAUGCUUGGCCAUUUCUAACUCAGUUCUGACCUUCCACCCUAGACAUGGCGAGACUUCUCUGAAAACAAACAUUCAUUCCUGUAUAAACAUCUUCAAGAUGAGGAACAAUGAAUAAUUACUUCUUAAUGUCUUUUUUAUAAUAGGAGACUUAUUUUCUCUAUACAAAGGAGGAGUCACUUCCUGACUCCAGAAAUGCAUAAUCUCUCUUUCAGCAAAGACAGAGGUACAUACAACUUCCUAUGUUAAUAUUUCUAAGUCUGUUAAAGCACUGCAGACAAAAGAAGAGAAAUAUGUCAUCAUUGUUCAAAGUUACCAGCUCAGAGAAGCAAAGGGACAUAUGUUGUUCAAAUUCUUAUGAAAAGCAAUAAAAGACAACGUUGGCCUGAAAAUAGAGAA